CUCUCUUCAGGUAUAUAUAUGUAUUACCUGAAAGCCCAGGGCAGUUGUUGCCUUGGGUCAUGCAGAGAAUAUGCAGCCACACCCAUGCCUUAGAUGUGUGUAAUUCAAGUGGAGAAGACACAAGCCAGUGGUCGCAAUAUCAACACUUGAGUGUUCUGUAAACGAUUAAUGUUUGCCAUGUGCAAAGAAAUGGCAGAGGCAAAAUGCUGCCGGCUUAUGGAAAAAUAAUUUAUAAAAAAGUGAUGGGUUAGUUCUGCCAAAUUUGAGUAAGUGAGAACACGAGAAACCAUAUUCUGUUAGAGCCUGAGAAAAGGAAAGAAAGUCAAACGGUGAGUCUAACCUCAUUUAUUCCAGGAUUGGUGUCAGCAGAAAACCAACAGUGAUGUGGUGGCACACAGUGAACUGACCAGACCCAGGCAGCAGCGGCUCUUUUGGUGGCAAUGGUGCCAUGUCAUGGGUACUCUCCUUGCUGAUGGCAGAUACCGACAGGCAAACUGUUGCCUUGCGUUUAGCUCUGUUAACCAUUGACAGUAAGGUAAGCAUGUCUUCAGCGUUCAUAGCUCUUAAAGAUCUUGUCUGUAACACAAGGGUUUAAGAC
ensembl:lincRNA 2900076A07Rik RIKEN cDNA 2900076A07 gene